CCAUGUGAUAUUCCAUAAAUGUUUCCAGCUCUGAAAGACAGGAAAUGAAAACCAUCACGGAAAAGGAAAGCUGCAGAAUAAAAAUUCCCAGUGCAGAUAGCAUUACAGCGACAGUGCACGAGGACGAAGGCUGGGCCGCCUGCGCAGACCUGCAGGUCAUUAGUGGGACUGCGAACGCGGGCGAGGCGCCCCGCACGCUCGGUGCAGCUUCUGUGGGAGAAAAUACGGCGGCAGCGGUCACACCCACGGCGCUAGCGGGACAACUCCGCUUUCAAUUAGGGACGGAGCUGAGAAAGUAGUCUUUUCUUCCCGCACGCCUCCCGAGGUCAGGUUACGACCUCUCCACUGUGUUCAAUCGCGGUGGCAUCCAUAUGCAUGAGAGCUAAUUAAGUCUGAAAGGCCCGGCUGGCUGGGCCCACCCCGCCGCGCAGGGGUGAGUGGGGAGUGGGCGCUGAGCCUGGCAGCCGGUCUAUGCAGCUGCUCCGUCGGCCGCCGGAGCGCGCACAAGUGCGCGGGGAGCGCGGUGUCUCAGCGGCCAGCACCAGCGGGGCGAGGGGAAUUAGCCGCGUCAUUUCUGGCCAGCCUAGCAACACGUGUGUGCUGAUCCUGAUGGCUCCUGCCUGGCCACAGCGUCCCAGGGCCGCGUGCAGGAAAGGGACGUGCAUUCUAAAGGAGACUUAAGGUUUGGGGCUGUACUUGGUCUGGCAGCAGGGAGUUGAGACCAGGAUUAGGGACCCAGCGCAGGCUGCCCGUGGGAGCUGGGAAAAUGAAAAAAUAUAUAUGUUAUCUUUCCGAAACCACCAGCUGUCGUCUCCACUGCACUUGGCCUGACGGGUCCCCACAAGAAAGGAAGCACCCGUCUAUUAGGGGAACCGUCAUCGACCCCUGCGCAGAGCUGCUCUGGAAAUGACUGCUGUGAUAGACAGCGUCUCGGGCACGUUCAGACGUGGGUGUUUCACAGACACCUCAACCACCCAGCGCACGCACUCAAAUUAUGCUUCAUUUCAAAAGUCCUAGAUCUUUGCUGCACUAUCUUCAUCCAUUCUUUUCACGGUUACAAAGAAAAAUAGGUGUGUAUUGUCAAAUAUCU